UAGUCCACGCCGUAAACGAUGGUCACUAGUUGUUGGGGUCUUGUACCUCAGUGAUUAAGAGAAAUUGAUAAGUGACCCACCUGGGGAGUACGAUCGCAAGAUUGAAACUCAAAGGAAUUGACGGGGGCCCGCACAAGCGGUGGAGCAUGUGGUUUAAUUCGAUGAUACGCGAGGAACCUCACCAGGGCUUAAAUGUAAGUUGCAUGAUUUAGAGAUAGAUCUUUCUUCGGACUACUUACAAGGUGCUGCAUGGUUGUCGUCGGCUUGUGCCGUGAGGUGUCGGGUUAAGUCCCAUAACGAGCGCAACCCCUAUCUUUAGUUGCCAGCGGAUAAUGCCGGGGACUCUAGAGAAACUGCCAGCGUAAGCUGUGAGGAAGGUGGGGAUGACGUCAGAUCAUCACGGCCCUUACGUCCUGGGGCUACACACGUGCUACAAUGGCAAGGACAAUGAGCUGCCAACCCGCGAGGGUGAGCAAAUCUUCAAACCUUGUCUCAGUUCGGAUCGG
rnacentral:rRNA from 1 species